GGGAUCGUAGUCUAGCUUGGUUAUGAUUCGGGUUUUGGGUACCUGAGGUCGCAGGUUCGAAUCCUGCCGAUCCCA
rnacentral:tRNA from 1 species